CUGUUACCACCAAGGAGGUGGGGAAAACAAAUUCCCCCACUCUAGGUCGCUCCGGAAACGUAGCUGACUCACGGAGCUAAAGUAAAGGAGACCUACACCUGAAUUGGAAGGCGGAGACUGAAAGAGCUGAAGAGUGCUGAAGAUCCUGAAAGAGCUUCUCCUAAAUAGAGGCCUUGUCCCUAAGAUUGCCCAGAGUUAUAAGGAAAAUGGAGGUCUGCAGAGAAAAGAGGCAUGAGACCAACAGGGAAGGAUUCUGGAAUGUUGAGCUGAGCACUCAAGAGCUGGGAGUCUCUCUGGAAGGAUUUGCUGUCAAAUACUUGGCGGAGUUCCUGUACCUGUCCUUGCUGUGGAUACCUGUGUUUCCCUUGGAAGAAGAUCCUUGAACCUGAAGUGAGCCUGAAACAGCUGAGUGGGAGAUCAGAGUCCAUCUGGACUGGGAUCUUUCCCUUGGGUCCCUGUCUAAUUCUGCCUCAAGUAACCAUCAAAAGAGGUUGGGUUAGUGUGGGAUAGCCAGACUUUAGGGUGAGAGAGGAGAGGGAGAUAAGAGGAGUCUAUCAAACUCUAUGAAGACCCUUCUCGCGAAGGCUUAGUUCCUGGGCUUUUAGCUAGUAAAACAGUGAUAGUAAUUCCCUUUUCCCUUCAAACCUCGUUUAAGAAUAAAUUACAACUUCCAGUGA